rnacentral:rRNA from 1 species
UUCCGGUUGAUCCUGCCGGACCUUACUGCUAUCGGGGUGGGACUAAGACAUGCGAGUCGAGCGUCUCUAGCUAUGUUGAGACGCGGCAGACGGCUCAGUAACACGUGGCUAACCUACCCUCAGGACGAGGAUAAACCCGGGAAACUGGGGCUAAUACUCGAUAGGUGAGAAUGUCUGGAAUGAUUUCUCACUCAAAGGGCCUUGGGAACAUGCUUCCAAUGUCGCCUGGGGAUGGGGCCGCGUCCGAUCAGGUUGUUGGUGAGGUAGUGGCUCACCAAGCCUAUAACCGGUACGGGCCGUGAGAGCGGUAGCCCGGAGAUGGGUACUGAGACAAGGACCCAGGCCCUACGGGGCGCAGCAGUCGCGAAAACUCCGCAAUGCACGAAAGUGUGACGGGGCUACCCCGAGUGCCAUCCGCUGAGGGUGGCUUUUCUUUGGUAUAACUAGCCGAGGGAAUAAGGAGAGGGCAAGACUGGUGUCAGCCGCCGCGGUAAUACCAGCUCUCCGAGUGGUAGGGAUGAUUAUUGGGCCUAAAGCGUCCGUAGCCGGCUUAGCAAGUCUCCUGUUAAAUUCAGCGACCUAAUCGUUGAGCCGCGGGAGAUACUAUUAGGCUAGGAGGCGGGAGAGGUCGACGGUACUUCUGGGGUAGGGGUGAAAUCCUAUAAUCCCGGGAGGACCACCAGUGGCGAAGGCUGUCGACUAGAACGCGCUCGACGGUGAGGGACGAAAGCUGGGGGAGCGAACCGGAUUAGAUACCCGGGUAGUCCCAGCCGUAAACGAUGCGGGCUACGUGUUGGAAUGGCUACGUGCCAUUUCAGUGCCGCAGGGAAGCCAUUAAGCCCGCCGCCUGGGGAGUACGGCCGCAGGCUGAAACUUAAAGGAAUUGGCGGGGGAGCACCACAAGGCGUGAAGCUUGCAGUUCAAUUGAAGUCAACGCGG